rnacentral:rRNA from 1 species
CGGUAAUUCCAGCUCCAAUAGCGUAUACUAAAGUUGUUGCAGUUAAAAAGCUCGUAGUUGGAUUUCUGCGGGGACGGAGCGGCCGGACGCAACUUGCGUCUCGAGCUAGCGCUCUCCCCGCAUCCUGCCGCGAACCGUGCUACCAUUAGCUUGGUGGCGCUGGGGAUCGGCUCGAUUACUUUGAGAAAAAUAGAGUGUUCAAAGCAGGCCACACGCCUUGAAUAAGUUAGCAUGGAAUAAUGACUAAGGACUUCGGUUCUAUUUUGUUGGUGUUCGGGACUGAAGUAAUGAUUGAUAGGGACAGUUGGGGCGGUCUGUAUUCCAAAGCGAGAGGUGAAAUUCUUAGACCUUCGGAAGACAAACAGCUGCGAAAGCGUUCCGCAAGGAUGUUCCCUUUGAUCAAGAACGAAAGUUGGGGGAUCGAAGACGAUCAGAUACCGUCGUAGUCUCAACUAUAAACUAUACCAGCUAGGGAUCGGUCAACGUUUAAUCAUUCGACUUGAUCGGCACCUUAUGAGAAAUCAAAGCAUCUGGGUUCCGGGGGGAGUAUGGUCGCAAGGCUGAAACUUAAAGGAAUUGACGGAAGGGCACCACCAGCCGUGGAGCCUGUGGCUUAAUUUGACUCAACACGGGAAGACUUACCAGGUCCAGACAUAGUAAGGAUUGACAGAUUGAUAGCUCUUUCUUGAUUCUGUGGGUGGUGGUGCAUGGCCGUUCUUAGUUGGUGGAGUGAUUUGUCUGGUUAAUUCCGUUAACGAACGAGACCCCAGCCUGCUAAAUAGCGCGGCUGAGCUUUGCUCGGUGCGAGCUUCUUAGAGGGACUAUGAUGCGCGAUAGCACAUGGAAGUUUGGGGCAAUAACAGGUCUGUGAUGCCCUUAGAUGUUCUGGGCCGCACACGGGCUACACUGGCGCCUGCAACGAGCAUAUCAGCUGGCCCGAGAGGGUCUUGGCUAAUCUUUUGAACCGGCGCCGUGCUUGGGAUUGACCAUUGCAAUUGUUGGUCAUGCAACGAGGAAUGCCUUGUAAACGCGAGUCAUCAGCUCGCAUUGAAUACGUCCCUGCCCUUUGUACACACCGCCCGUCGCUCCUACCGAUGAAUGUUCCGAUGAAAUUUUCGGAGAGCGCCAGAGAACGGGGCUCUGCCUUGCAGAUCUGGAGGCUCAAAGUCACUUAAAUCUGAACGUUUCGAGGAAGGAGAAGUCGUAACAAGGUAGCCG